rnacentral:rRNA from 1 species
UACGUAGGGGGCAAGCGUUGUCCGGAAUUAUUGGGCGUAAAGAGCGUGUAGGCGGUCCGGUAAGUCAGCUGUGAAAGUCAAGGGCUCAACCCUUGAAUGCCGGUUGAUACUGUCGGGCUAGAGUCCGGAAGAGGCGAGUGGAAUUCCCGGUGUAGCGGUGGAAAUGCGCAGAUAUCGGGAGGAACACCAAUGGCGAAGGCGACUGCCUGGCCCAACACUGACGCUGAGGUGCGAAAGCGUGGGUAGCAAACAGG